GUGUCAGCCGCCGCGGUAAUACGGAGGGUGCGAGCGUUGUCCGGAAUCACUGGGCGUAAAGGGCGCGUAGGCGGUCCGGUAAGCGCGUGGUGAAAGCCCGGGGCUCAACCCCGGGUCGGCCGUGCGGACUGCGGGACUGGAGCACUGUAGAGGCAGGCGGAAUUCCGGGUGUAGCGGUGGAAUGCGUAGAGAUCCGGAAGAACACCGGUGGCGAAGGCGGCCUGCUGGGCAGUAGCUGACGCUGAGGCGCGACAGCGUGGGGAGCAAACAGGAUUAGAAACCCGCGUAGUCC
rnacentral:rRNA from 1 species